CAACCCUCAAGCCCGGCUUGGUGUUGGGCCCCGCCCGCUGCGGCCGGCCCUAAAGACAGUGGCGGCGCCGCCUGGCCCUCAGCGUAGUACAGCUCUCGCUCCAGGGUCCGGUGGUGGCCUGCCAGAACCCCCAACUCUGU
rnacentral:misc_RNA from 1 species